AUUGAACGCUGGCGGCAUGCUUUACACAUGCAAGUCGAACGGUAACAGGCCGCAAGGUGCUGACGAGUGGCGAACGGGUGAGUAAUGCAUCGGAACGUGCCCAGUCGUGGGGGAUAACGCAGCGAAAGCUGUGCUAAUACCGCAUACGAUCUAUGGAUGAAAGCGGGGGACCGUAAGGCCUCGCGCGAUUGGAGCGGCCGAUGUCAGAUUAGGUAGUUGGUGGGGUAAAGGCUCACCAAGCCAACGAUCUGUAGCUGGUCUGAGAGGACGACCAGCCACACUGGGACUGAGGCACGGCCCAGACUCCUACGGGAGGAAGCAGUGGGGAAUUUUGGACAAUGGGCGCAAGCCUGAUCCAGCAAUGCCGCGUGCAGGAAGAAGGCCUUCGGGUUGUAAACUGCUUUUGUACGGAACGAAAAGGUUUGGGUUAAUACCCUGGGCCGAUGACGGUACCGUAAGAAUAAGCACCGGCUAACUACGUGCCAGCCGCCGCCGUAAGAC
rnacentral:rRNA from 1 species